GUGAAGCGGGAAAAGCUCAAAUUUGAAAUCUGGUAGCAAUGUUGUCCGAGUUGUAGUCUGGAGAAGUGUUUUCUGUGCCGGACCGUGUACAAGUCUCUUGGAAUAGGGCAUCAUAGAGGGUGAGAAUCCCGUCUUUGACACGGACUGCUGAUACUUUGAGAUGCGCUCUCAACGAGUCGAGUUGUUUGGGAAUGCAGCUCAAAAUGGGUGGUAAAUUCCAUCUAAAGCUAAAUAUUGGCAAGAGACCGAUAGUGAACAAGUACCGUGAGGGAAAGAUGAAAAGCACUUUGGAAAGAGAGUUAAACAGUACGUGAAAUUGCUGAAAGGGAAACGCUUGAAGUCAGUCGCAUUGAUCAGAACUCAGCUUGGCUUUCGCUUAGUGCAUUUUCUGGUUAAUGGGCCAACAUCAAUUUUGACUGCUGGAUAAAGGCUUAGGGAAUGUGGCACCUUUGGGUGUGUUAUAGCUCUUGGUCACAUACAGUGGUUGAGAUUGAGGAUCUCAGCAUGCCUUAUGGCCGAGGUUUACCUACGUUCAUGCUUAGGAUGUUGGCAUAAUGGCUUUAAACGACCCGUCUUGAAACACGGACCAAGGAGUCUAACAUGCCUGCGAGUGUUUGAGUGGAAAACUCGAGCGCGCAAUGAAAGUGAAAGUUGGGAUCCUUGUCGUGAGGAGCACCGACACCCGGACCAGACCUUUUGUGACGGAUCCGCGGUAGAGCAUGUAUGUUGGGACCCGAAAGAUGGUGAACUAUGCCUGAAUAGGGUGAAGCCAGAGGAAACUCUGGUGGAUGGCUCGUAGCGAUUCUGACGUGCAAAUCGAUCGUCAAAUUUGGGUAUAGGGGCGAAAGACU
rnacentral:rRNA from 1 species